rnacentral:lncRNA from 1 species
AAAUGUGAUAAUAUACGUAUGUUACAUGUUUCAAAGGGACAAUAUACUUCAUAAGUUUAGUUAAAAUGUAUACAAGUUCUAUUGAUAUUACUAUUGUCUUUAUGUAUACUUAACCAUUGAAAGAUCUAACAGUUCAUAGUAUUCCAAUUUUGAAUAGUACACCUAUAUGUUAUUACAGAAAAAUUAUGCCUGUAAUAACAAAAGGGUGUUAUCACAGCUUCUCUAUAUCACUUCAAAGCAUUUGCUCAGACAUAAAUCAUGCUUAAUUACAAUGUAUUUUAAUUUAUUGUAAGAAAUAAUGACCAGAGCAUGUAAUGAGGUUCUGCGCAAGUUUCUCAGUAAUUCCCAAGUGUCUUAUAUAAUAAGUUACAUUCCUUUAAUAACUAAGCCUUGUUAUCACAGCUAAGUUAAUUCCUAAAUAGCCUUGUCUCAUUGAUUAACCAUGGUUAAUUAAAAAUGUAUUAAUUCCAUUUAAAAACUAAUUAUCAAGGCUAUGCAUUUAGUUUCUGCGCAAAGUCUCAAGAGUUCCCUAGAGUCCACUAUAGAUUAAAUAAUUUUACAAAUAACAAACAUAUGUUAUUACAGAUUUAGAAAGUUUAAGGAAAAGUAUCUGUAAUAACACAUGGAAGUUAUUUUCUGUAAUAACCCUAUAGAGUUAUAUCUCUGACUG